CUCCCAGAGGUUGGCCCCCUGAAGUUUCUGUGGCAGCCAGUAGACUAGAUAAGCCGUGUUCCUCUGGGAAGCUCAGUUGCAUCACUGGAGAGCCUUCUCCCUGCUCAGGAGUCUCACUCCCCAGAUGGCUUGGCUCUCCGGGACCCAUCUACUUCAGGAGGUGAAGAGUUUGAAGAAUGAAAUCUGAAGGAGGACAGCAAGUUCAAGUCCUGCCUCAACAUUUUGUAGAAGCCCUAAGCAACUAAGCCAGACCUGUCUCAAAAUAUUUACAGAGGGGUUGAAGAUGUAGCACUGUGCUUUCCAUGAUUUGUAUACAGAAGUCACUUUCCAGGAGAGGAAUACUCUUUGAAGUAUAAGCUGAAGUGUACACAUGAUUAACAUCAGAGAGACCUUCAUUUUUGGAAGUAAUUUGAAAGAAAAU